GAACUGUCCAGAGACACAAGGCUAAUGAGAAGCUCUACAUCGAUAAUGGAGUGAUCUUCUUCUUCAUCCUCGCUCUCGCGCGCCAUGGCCCUCCUAGCUAUUAUCGUGUGGUGCUUCCUCCUACCAUGCACUACCGCCGCGGCCAAAGGUGCAAGCUUUAAUUUUCCGAGAGGGUUACGAGAAGGAGGAAUAGGUUGAACUCACCGCAGCCGGGGCACAUGAAACAACUGGACUGCCCGGGCUGUGGCCAAGCGUACGCUCUGCCAUCGCCAUCGGGCAUGGCCCUUGCGGCGCCACACCGUAAGAACCUGCACCCGGGCCGACACUGAAGAUUCUGCACAGCAACAAAAAAGAAACGGCUUGGAGCGGAGGGGCUGCCUGAUUCAACGAACUUUGUGGCUGUGCAUAUUAGGACUCAUCACGAACUAGAAUUUUUUUCAAUUUUAGUUAUAUUUCUCCUCAACGUUGUUAUAUUUCGCCAAAACCAAUAAUUUUGUGAUUUGUCGCUU